GGGUUGUGAGGUUAAGCGACUAAGCGUACACGGUGGAUGCCCUGGCAGUCAGAGGCGAUGAAGGGCGUGCUAAUCUGCGAUAAGCGCCGGUAAGGUGAUAUGAACCGUUAUAACCGGCGAUACCCGAAUGGGGAAACCCAGUGUGACUCGUCACACUAUCAUUAACUGAAUCCAUAGGUUAAUGAGGCGAACCGGGGGAACUGAAACAUCUAAGUACCCCGAGGAAAAGAAAUCAACCGAGAUUCCCCCAGUAGCGGCGAGCGAACGGGGAGGAGCCCAGAGCCUGAAUCAGCAUGUGUGUUAGUGGAAGCGUCUGGAAAGGCGCGCGAUACAGGGUGACAGCCCCGUACACAAAAGCGCAUGUGCUGUGAGCUCGAUGAGUAGGGCGGGACACGUGGUAUCCUGUCUGAAUAUGGGGGGACCAUCCUCCAAGGCUAAAUACUCCUGACUGACCGAUAGUGAACCAGUACCGUGAGGGAAAGGCGAAAAGAACCCCGGCGAGGGGAGUGAAAAAGAACCUGAAACCGUGUACGUACAAGCAGUGGGAGCACNNNNNNNNNNGUGUGACUGCGUACCUUUUGUAUAAUGGGUCAGCGACUUAUAUUCUGUAGCAAGGUUAACCGAAUAGGGGAGCCGGAGGGAAACCGAGUCUUAAUUGGGCGUUAAGUUGCAGGGUAUAGACCCGAAACCCGGUGAUCUAGCCAUGGGCAGGUUGAAGGUUGGGUAACACUAACUGGAGGACCGAACCGACUAAUGUUGAAAAAUUAGCGGAUGACCUGUGGCUGGGGGUGAAAGGCCAAUCAAACCGGGAGAUAGCUGGUUCUCCCCGAAAGCUAUUUAGGUAGCGCCUCGUGAAUUCAUCUCCGGGGGUAGAGCACUGUUUCGGCUAGGGGGCCAUCCCGGCUUACCAACCCGAUGCAAACUGCGAAUACCGGAGAAUGUUAUCACGGGAGACACACGGCGGGUGCUAACGUCCGUCGUGAAGAGGGAAACAACCCAGACCGCCAGCUAAGGUCCCAAAGUCAUGGUUAAGUGGGAAACGAUGUGGGAAGGCCCAGACAGCCAGGAUGUUGGCUUAGAAGCAGCCAUCAUUUAAAGAAAGCGUAAUAGCUCACUGGUCGAGUCGGCCUGCGCGGAAGAUGUAACGGGGCUAAACCAUGCACCGAAGCUGCGGCAGCGACACUGUGUGUUGUUGGGUAGGGGAGCGUUCUGUAAGCCUGCGAAGGUGGCCUGUGAGGGUUGCUGGAGGUAUCAGAAGUGCGAAUGCUGACAUAAGUAACGAUAAAGCGGGUGAAAAGCCCGCUCGCCGGAAGACCAAGGGUUCCUGUCCAACGUUAAUCGGGGCAGGGUGAGUCGACCCCUAAGGCGAGGCCGAAAGGCGUAGUCGAUGGGAAACGGGUUAAUAUUCCCGUACUUGGUGUUACUGCGAAGGGGGGACGGAGAAGGCUAUGUUGGCCGGGCGACGGUUGUCCCGGUUUAAGCGUGUAGGUGUGUGUUCCAGGUAAAUCCGGUUCACUUUAACACUGAGGCGUGACGACGAGGCACUACGGUGCUGAAGCAACAAAUGCCCUGCUUCCAGGAAAAGCCUCUAAGCAUCAGGUAACAUCAAAUCGUACCCCAAACCGACACAGGUGGUCAGGUAGAGAAUACCAAGGCGCUUGAGAGAACUCGGGUGAAGGAACUAGGCAAAAUGGUGCCGUAACUUCGGGAGAAGGCACGCUGACACGUAGGUGAAGUGAUUUACUCAUGGAGCUGAAGUCAGUCGAAGAUACCAGCUGGCUGCAACUGUUUAUUAAAAACACAGCACUGUGCAAACACGAAAGUGGACGUAUACGGUGUGACGCCUGCCCGGUGCCGGAAGGUUAAUUGAUGGGGUCAGCGCAAGCGAAGCUCCUGAUCGAAGCCCCGGUAAACGGCGGCCGUAACUAUAACGGUCCUAAGGUAGCGAAAUUCCUUGUCGGGUAAGUUCCGACCUGCACGAAUGGCGUAAUGAUGGCCAGGCUGUCUCCACCCGAGACUCAGUGAAAUUGAACUCGCUGUGAAGAUGCAGUGUACCCGCGGCAAGACGGAAAGACCCCGUGAACCUUUACUAUAGCUUGACACUGAACAUUGAGCCUUGAUGUGUAGGAUAGGUGGGAGGCUUUGAAGUGUGGACGCCAGUCUGCAUGGAGCCGACCUUGAAAUACCACCCUUUAAUGUUUGAUGUUCUAACGUGGACCCGUUACCCGGGUUGCGGACAGUGUCUGGUGGGUAGUUUGACUGGGGCGGUCUCCUCCUAAAGAGUAACGGAGGAGCACGAAGGUUGGCUAAUCCUGGUCGGACAUCAGGAGGUUAGUGCAAUGGCAUAAGCCAGCUUGACUGCGAGCGUGACGGCGCGAGCAGGUGCGAAAGCAGGUCAUAGUGAUCCGGUGGUUCUGAAUGGAAGGGCCAUCGCUCAACGGAUAAAAGGUACUCCGGGGAUAACAGGCUGAUACCGCCCAAGAGUUCAUAUCGACGGCGGUGUUUGGCACCUCGAUGUCGGCUCAUCACAUCCUGGGGCUGAAGUAGGUCCCAAGGGUAUGGCUGUUCGCCAUUUAAAGUGGUACGCGAGCUGGGUUUAGAACGUCGUGAGACAGUUCGGUCCCUAUCUGCCGUGGGCGCUGGAGAACUGAGGGGGGCUGCUCCUAGUACGAGAGGACCGGAGUGGACGCAUCACUGGUGUUCGGGUUGUCAUGCCAAUGGCACUGCCCGGUAGCUAAAUGCGGAAGAGAUAAGUGCUGAAAGCAUCUAAGCACGAAACUUGCCCCGAGAUGAGUUCUCCCUGAGACUUAAAGUCUCCUGAAGGAACGUUGAAGACGACGACGUUGAUAGGCCGGGUGUGUAAGCGCAGCGAUGCGUUGAGCUAACCGGUACUAAUGAACCGUGAGGCUUAACCUUACAACGCCGAAG
rnacentral:rRNA from 5 species